rnacentral:rRNA from 1 species
CAAUAGCGUAUAUUAAAGCUGUUGCGGUUAAAAAGCUCGUAGUUGGAUUUCUGUCAAGUACAACUGGUCCGCCCUCCGGGUGAGCACAUAGUUUGGUCUUGGCAUCUUGCUGGAAAUUGUUGCUGCACUUGGCUGUGUGGCGCAGUGUCCAGCACUUUCACUUUGAGGAAAUUGGAGUGUUUCAAGCAGGCAAUGCCUUUGAACACAGUAGCAUGGAUUAAUUAGAUUGGGCUUUUGCUCCAAUUUGUCGGUUUCUGGAGCUGAGGUGAGAAUUAAUGGGGAUUGUUGGGGGCAUCCGAAUUUAGCCGUCAGAGGUGAAAUUCUUGGAUCGGCUAAAGACGGACAACUGCGAAAGCGUUUGCCCAGGAUGUUUUCAUUGA